GCCGGCGUGGCGAAAUUGGCAGACGCAAGGGACUUAAAAUCCCUCGGGGUGAGAGCUCCAUACCGGUUCGAGUCCGGUCGCCGGCACCA
rnacentral:tRNA from 1 species